rnacentral:tRNA from 1 species
UGUUCAUUGGGGUAUAUAGGAAUACAUCUAUAAACUAAGGGGCAGUUGCAAGUUCGAUUCUUGCAGGGGCUACCA